CACGUAGGGCGCAAGCGUUGUCCGGAAUUAUUGGGCGUAAAGAGCUCGUAGGUGGUUUGCUGCGUCCGCUGUGAAAACCCAAGGCUUAACCUUGGGCUUGCAGUGGAUACGGGCAGACUAGAGGUAGGUAGGGGAGAAUGGAAUUCCCGGUGUAGCGGUGAAAUGCGCAGAUAUCGGGAGGAACACCGGUGGCGAAGGCGGUUCUCUGGGCCUUACCUGACACUGAGGAGCGAAAGCGUGGGGAUCAAACAGG
rnacentral:rRNA from 1 species